AGUGAACGCUGGCGGUAGGCCUAACACAUGCAAGUCGAACGGCAGCACAGUAAGAGCUUGCUCUUACGGGUGGCGAGUGGCGGACGGGUGAGGAAUACAUCGGAAUCUACUUUUUCGUGGGGGAUAACGUAGGGAAACUUACGCUAAUACCGCAUACGACCUACGGGUGAAAGCAGGGGAUCUUCGGACCUUGCGCGAUUGAAUGAGCCGAUGUCGGAUUAGCUAGUUGGCGGGGUAAAGGCCCACCAAGGCGACGAUCCGUAGCUGGUCUGAGAGGAUGAUCAGCCACACUGGAACUGAGACACGGUCCAGACUCCUACGGGAGGCAGCAGUGGGGAAUAUUGGACAAUGGGAGCAAGCCUGAUCCAGCCAUACCGCGUGGGUGAAGAAGGCCUUCGGGUUGUAAAGCCCUUUUGCUGGGAAAGAAAAGCAGCAGGUUAAUACCCCGCUGUUCUGACGGUACCCAAAGAAUAAGCACCGGCUAACUUCGUG
rnacentral:rRNA from 1 species